CACCAGACUCCUACGGGAGGCAGCAGUGGGGAAUAUUGCACAAUGGGGGGAACCCUGAUGCAGCGACGCCGCGUGAGUGAAGAAGUAUUUCGGUAUGUAAAGCUCUCUCAGCAGGGAAGAAAAUGACGGUACCUGACUAAGAAGCCCCGGCUAACUACGUGCCAGCAGCCGCGGUAAUACGUAGGGGGCAAGCGUUAUCCGGAUUUACUGGGUGUAAAGGGAGCGUAGACGGUUCUGCAAGCCAGAUGUGAAAGCCCGGGGCUCAACCCCGGGACUGCAUUUGGAACUGUAAGGCUAGAGUGUCGGAGAGGCAGGCGGAAUUCCUAGUGUAGCGGUGAAAUGCGUAGAUAUUAGGAGGAACACCAGUGGCGAAGGCGGCUUACUGGACAGUAACUGACGCUGAGGCUCGAAAGCGUGGGGAGCAAGCAGGAUUAGAUACCCCAGUA
rnacentral:rRNA from 1 species